GCCUGGGUGGCUCAGUCAGUUGAGUGUCUGACUUUGGCUCAGGUCAUGACCUCAGGGUUCAUGGGUUCGAUCCCCGUGUCAGGCU
rnacentral:tRNA from 1 species